CUUAUGGCGACUGGUCAGAGUGUGUGUAUACGUGAGUGCAUUUGUAUAUGUGUUUGUGCUUGUGUGCAUGUACAUUUGGGUGGGGUCCAUGCCUGAUGGGUCACGAUGGGGUAUAGAGGAGGUGGAGAGGAUUUUAUUGGAGCGGGGUAGGUGGGUUUGAUGGAGGUGCAAGGGGCGGGGGCGGGCAGUAAAAAUCGCAAAUGAGAGGAAAUUGUUUUGAGUCACAGCAGAUUUGGUGGAGUGAGAUAAGGGCUGAUGACGGUUGUGGUGGUGUGAUUAGGAUUAGGGGUGGGGGAGACAGAGUAGAAGGUGGUGGUAGUGGCGAAGGGGUGCGAGUGCGUGGAAAAGGGUUUUGGGAGGGGAAUGACUAUUUGCACACGCACAGGACCACUGUAUGUGUGUGUGUGUGAGAAUUUUCAUUUAAGAAACGAGAGUUGCGGGGGAAAAAUGAGGAGAUGGGUGGGUUAGAUAAUGGCGGCCGCAGAGAGCGUAUAAGGGCAGUACAUGUCAAGCAGAAAGAUAGAGCGCGAUGAAACAAGAAAGAGUGAAUGAAAUAAAAGACGCGAACAUUUGAUAGAGAGGCAAAAUGAGAGACAGAGCGCUGAAGGAGGGGGGUGGAGGCUGUGGAUGAGAGGAUGUAUGAGGGGAGGGACGUUGAAAGAGUGCCAGAGUGAUUUUCGACAUGUUCACUUCCCUCCUUUGUUGGUUACGUUUGGCAGCAAGAGCUUUAGGGGGGUUUUGGAGGGAACAAUGACGCAGAGGGACUCGUCGUGUCUGCUCCAGCUGAUAAUAAUGAUGCCUAAAGAUGAUAACAAUAAUAAGUAGCUUCUAGUGGAACCCUAAAAACCGCCGGCACGUGACGCUCAACGUCACAUAUUAUCACUCAUGACACACUGCGCUGGACACACAGAUGUGGAUAUCUCACGUUGGCGGUGUGUGUGAGGGUGGUCAGAGGGAGCGAGCGAGACACAAAGAGAGACAAGGGUGGAAAUGGAGGAAAAAUGGGAAGGAAAAGAGCAGGGAAAAGGGAACAUGCUUGGAGUUGUGUCACCUGCAUAUACUUGACAUUCACAUAUAGGAUGAACAAAAGAGUUGCAUGCUGGGAGUCAGAAAAUAAUGAAUGCAUUCGUCGCCACUUCAUUGUAUAUGAGCAAUCUUGUGUAAUUGUGCUUUUAUCAGUGCAGACUGAAAACAAAAGAAUCAAAAGGCAGCCGCUCAGACUGAACCAUACGGGGAGGUGUUAUUUAGAAAAUUGGUAAAACCUGUGUGUGAGUAUGUGUCCCCUUGUCCUCUUUAAUCCACACAUUUUUAAGCGUUUCAUCUUAAUUUAUGACUUUAACAAAAGAAAAAAGUAAAGUGUGGACUCAUCUCACCGGAAAAAAAUCGACACCAUAAAUGAAAAGUAGUUCAGCCAUGACUAAAGCAGAUGAACAUUUGCCGUCUGCUCUUUUGAUGAUGUGUGAGCUUUUGAAUGUCUUGGUGAGUCAUAUAGAAAUUACUUGAAAUAAGCAUCGCACCGCUUCUUUGUACACUUGGUGCAAUGAAUAUGGAUGAAUUUUGGAUAACUUUUUUUUUUUUUUUUGUGGGGAUGGUUGACAGGAGAAGACUGUGAUUUUUAACCUUCAGGAACAAAUUAGAUCCAUGCCAUGUAACCGUCAGGUCUCCGGGGUAAUUAGGUUACAUUACACCUUAAUGAAUUUCUUGUCUGAGCUGCUAAAACAGGCGUCCUGGGAACGUAUUAUAAUCCCACUGUUGAUUUAACAGUGCAGUACUGAUGCAAUGGACCAGCCUUCUCAAAUGCCACCAACCCUGAUUUGUCUUCCAUGACUCAUCCAGCCUCCAAAACAAUGCGGCAGCGUGCUGCUGGGCCCCUGGUGACACACUGUCCUUUCCAUAGCACCCUGGAUAAGGCUGCAGGGUUUGUCUACGGGGGUAAACACAAACAGACAGCACCAGAGGGUGUCUCUGGGAGCACUAACACGCACAAAGACAAGGGGAAAAAAAAAAAAACUUGUAAGUGAUAAAAGUAAACCGUUUUUCGAGGACAUCUUGCGUGACUCAGUGAACAGCCGCCUAUUAAUCUGACAGGAUUAUUAUGUAUGACUGUGUUUAUUUGAGUCGGAGGGCUGUGUGACAUACUCCUGCUUGGAUCUGAUGCGGUGCUUUGUUGUUGACUCAUACACCAGGAGAGGCUCAUUGACUCCGGCAGCUGGUUGACCUUGGAGAGAAAGCGACCUGUUUCUCCCACGUUCAGCUUCACCCUCCGGAGAUUUUCCCCCCCUCCUUUUUUUCCUUUUUUCUCGAACAUCCGAGAAACUGAAGCGGGAGAUGUAUGAUCUGACAUGAGGGUCACAGGAGGAGAGCGGCACCUUGACUCACCUGCGGCACAUCAUGUUUUGAACCCCGUAAGCAGCUUGUGAUGCUUUGAGAGUCCCACAGCACUUUAAAUUGAUGGCUACAUGCUCUGACAAGUGGCUUCGAAUAACUACAUGAUAUCUUGUUUAGGGAAUAGAUCCGAAACUGAGUUUUUCCAGGGCUAAGCUCACAUUUAACACUGAUCGUUGUACAAGAUUGAUCUCUGAUUCACUGCUGUGGCCUUUAUCGCUGCACGUGUACAGCUAUUGGCCUUUUAAGAAAUGAACAAACUAGAAUUAAAGAUAUUUUUAAGACAGUAUCAGGGGCUGUGGUAGCUACCGUACUGAUGACGCUCUCUAUGAUUCAUACACUGGAUCUGCAGUACACUUAAUGACGUAGCAGGUCGACCCUCUCUGAGUCCAAUUUAACCAUGAAUUUACUCUUUUAUUGCGAUAAUAGCUUUCUUUCUUGUGUAAAGUUGGUUGAGUUGUGUACCUAAACUGCCAAAAAUGCUUCCAACAAUUCUGAAGUUACAGGUGGUGUACAGAUUUUUUCGGAGACAGGAAACGACAACGAGGGCAACGAAUGUCUUUUUUUGUUAGCUAACGUAACUUGUGGUUGUUUCUUCAGAAUAACAAACAUGCAAUUAACAAAAUGGGACGUAGAUAUAAAGGAUAAUACAGCCUGAAACAUUAAUUCAGUGUGAGACACCAUGAUCUCACUCUACUCAACAAUGUCUUCACGCUAUUUCUUUUGGAAUUAUUUGCAAACAUGAAAUUGCGUAAUUUACAAGUGAACAACUAGCAAAUCUUGUGAAGAAGUUUGUCAAACACGUUUUAAAUGGCUAGGUUUUGUAUUUUUCUUUACUUCUUGAAAUGAACAGUUUUCUAUAAAUGCCAACACCUGUUUGUCCGAACGAAGUUCAAUUAAAAAACCCCCGAGUCCAACAGUAGUGGGUUAUAUUAUUCACAAGAGUAAAUGUUUAUUUCUCUACAUUUUGGCAGCUCACUUGAGAUUUCAAAUUUGUGAAUUAAAGUGGGCAGGUCUUUUACAAACAUCUGAUGCCAAAAUAUUUUCUAUUUAUUAUUUUUUUCACAACAAAAUGACACCAAUAAGAGGCUAAGAAUUGACAAUAUUUGUAGAGUUUGUUGAGUUAGUUCAGAGUUCCUCAAACAGGAUCUUGAAAAGUCAUGAUAAAGGCCAGAAAAGACAGAUUUGACCCCUAGAAUAACAUACUGAUAUAGCUCUGAAAUAAAAAAGAGAGAGAGAGAGAAAUCUGAUCUGCAUGUAGAAAAUAGCCCAUGGGUCAGUGUAGGAUUUGAUCCAUUGUGAAUGUUUAUCGUGUUUGUCGCCACACUUUCUGUUUAAACAGAGUUCGUCCAAAUUUGUGUUUAGACAGUUAAAGGUCACAACCGCCGAGUGUUACGAAAAAUAAUCACGAUGACAGAGACCUGAACUGAAACACGUCACAGCUCGUCUCUCGUUGCUUUUCCACCAUGUAAAGUUUCUAAUCCAGUAAGCGGCUGCAAAAUAUUAUAAAUCAAAAUGUCUUCAUUGACAGGGUUGCUAUGGUAACGUCACAAAAAAAAAGCUCAUAGCUGCUCUGUGGUCUUUCACACCUGAAUGUUUCCAGUCUCCUGAAAGUUGCAUAAACCACUCAACCAAAAUUGUUCCCCAAAAUGAAAAGCUUUAAAAGAUGCACGUGUCCAUGAAUAAAAGAGCGCCUCUGAAUAAUUUGUGUGCACAGGAAUACUGUUAAACUAUCUCUCUCUCUCACACACACACACACACAAACAAAACACAGACAACACAUAUACACAACUGUACAUAUACAGACAUAAAAUGAGAGACGGGCCACGAAUAAAGAUUUUUAGACUUGACUGCAAAAGCAGAGCUGUCUCCUUCGUCUCCGAAACAGCUGAAUUAAGCUCAUUCUUGUUCAGCGGAGAAGGGAGUGAAUGGAGGAAAUGUGGGAGGGGAGAGCGACGGCUGGGCGGAGCGAGAGUGUGAUGCAGGUUGGCGGUGAAACGAGAUGAAGCAGGCUGGGAGGAGGAGGAGGGCGGGUGUCGGAGGGUGUGAGUUAAACGCAGAGUGAAUUAGAAUGAAUGAUGACAAGAUCUGCUCCUUAUUCUUUGCCCUUUUUAUCUUCAGGAGGAAAUUCAGGCGGACUAAAAUGUAACGCUUGUCUCUACAUGACCCACACGAGCGCCAGACACACAAAUACCAAUGGAUGUAUAUUACUCAUUAAAGUAAGACAGCGACGCUCAGACUGAGACAACCUUGAAAUUGAAAUUAGCACGUGUUGCUCUUGACAACUCACCUUAUUUUCUAAGGUGUCUAUUUUACAGUAAUUUACAGUAAUUUUUUAAUGUUUGUUCGAUGCGACUGUAAUAUUGCUUACUUUGAAGUUGCGAAACCACUGUUAGCUAGUCAGUACGCGAAACCAAUCACUAACACAAUUUAUAGGACAAAGAAAUUUGGUAGAACGUAAUGUAAUAAGAAAUGCCAAAUGAUGGACGCUAUGUACUUCCAUUCUUGUGCUAUUUUUUCUGAUACUCAGACAGCAAAACUUCGAGAAAAUAAGGCCCAUGUGGAUUUCUGUUCUCUUCCUCUGUCAUAUUUUUUUUCCUCCCCUCUAUCUAUGAAAUGUUGUGUUCCUGUCUGAUUGUAUCUAUUUGCUGUAGGGAUUUCAAACUGAGCUGAAGAGUUGAUUUAACAGAAACUCAAUGACGAAAUUUGUCUCGCUGAAGAUAUUUGACUAUUGACAUUAAAAUGAAAGAAAUUAAAUCAUAAUUAUCUGAUUGUCUAAAUUAAAAAUCUGAUUGAUUAUGGGCUCUACAAUUUAAGUUCUUUGGAUUGCAAAUUUUUGGCUAAAAAAAUCAUUGUAUUAACAGAAGUCCGACGAGAUUUUUGAUGAUGUUGCUUUGUGUUGUGAGAUAUUUCUGCUGUUUUCAAAUGAAUUUCAAAACAAUAAUCUGAUCAUUAAAGAAAACAAAUAACUAAAUAAUUGAUUAUCAAAAUACUUACAAGUCGCACCCCUAUUUCUUCCCUGUUGUGUGUUUAAGUUCAGGUUUACGCUGCCUUUGUCUAGUGUUGAUCAGGGCACAUUUGGACGGCCUUAUCAAGGCCCAAUCCAGCAGAAACUGAACAGAAGGAAAAAUGGCAGUAGACUGUGUGAAGACUAAUUUCUGUCUUUCAUUAACAUUUAGUCAGUUUACAAUAAUUGCUGGGUUAGCUGCUCGAGUUCACUAUGAAGGAUUGAAAAGGUCGAAUCAUUUUGUCAUUUUAUUUGGUUUUUAAAUGCUUUUAUUUUUUCAGAUUUUCACUCGUGCAUUCAGGAGAAGAUUGUUUCAGAUGUAUCUAUGUGAAACAUUCAGUGAAUGCAGUUUAUGAGACAAUAUGGUAUUGUAGUUACACAGCUGUGGGCUGUGAUUGCAAAGGCUGUUUCUUCUGGGUUUGUGCAUAUUUGUGUGUGUAUGUGUGUGUGUGUGUGUGUGUGUGUGUGUGUGUGUGUUUGUGUGCUGCCUACAGGUGACUCAUCGCACUGCAGAUGACCACAAUGUUUUUCUGCUGCCUGAGCGUUUAUGGCUCUUUUUCAACCUUUUCUUCUCCUGUGAUUUUCUCCUCUCUUUACACUCUCUUGCUAUGUCUAUCAGCGCUUUCUUUAGGGACAACAGGACUGUAUGUCUGAAUUACAUAAUACCCUGUGUCUUCCGUAAUUCUGGAAAUAAGAUCCAAUGAAAAAAAAGGAAAAAAAAAAAAAAAAACAGAAAACAGGUUUUUACAUGUAACAGCGUACCUAAGGAAACUACAUGGCCUCCAGAAUAAGAGCAUUCAUCCACCCAGGUAUAAUGAGCCCUAAUGUCAUGUUACCGUCUGAUUGGCAAGGUAAGCGUUACAGAGAGGGGCAGGAAAAGAGAGAAGGGAUAAGGGGUAAUAAUGAUGAUGAUGAUGAUGAUGAGGGGUUAUGAGGCGAAACAAAGGCAGAAUGACACAAAAAAGAAAGGUGAGGACCAAUUUGUGCCUGCCACCUCAUUUUCUCCCCCUCCUUCUCCCCCUCUUUUCUGUCUCUCUCCCUCUUUCUCUUCCUGCAUCCAUCCUGCAUCAAUCAUACAUCCAUUUACCCCCAUCCCUCUCUCCCUCUCAAUUAGGCUCUCCUCCACUUCUUGUCCUUCUAUUUCCCUGUCAUCUGCAUCUUAGGGUUUUUAAGGUCUAAUGUCACUUAAUGUGCAGAGCAGGUGCAGCUACUGUGUACUUUCUUUGAGUGGAGAAGCAGGUUAACCUUGUUGAGGAAAGCAAAAAGCAAACAUGGAAACUCUUGCUUUGUUUAAAUCAUCACUUGAAAACUAAAUUUUCAAGCAGAUUUUUUUUAAUUUAAAGCCUGCGAAAAUCUAAAGUGCAUGAAAUUAUACUCCUUUGUGGUAUUUCCACCCCUUUGUUAUUGUUUGAUAGAAUAUAUUGCACUCAGGCCCACAUUGUUUUAUUCAUAAGGUUGUUCGGUUCAAUAUGUCAGAGCAGAAAAUGUUAAGGUUUAAAAUAGGAUUAAAUAUAUAAGCUAACAUGACUGUCGAAACAGUUUUUAUUUUCUACAUUCUGCAAACUCAAAGCUGCUUGAUUGUAGAUUAGCCUAAUCUCACACACGCACACGCAGGACAGCAGGGACACACACAGACACACAAAUGUGGAUUUACAUUGUAAUUACCCCUGAGCCUCUCUUCAGGUCCCUGUGGGGCCUCAGGCUGAAGACGAUCUCAGAAGAGUCCCAGUUGUCCCAUUGAGGAGAUCAUUAGCCUGUUUAGAGUAAUCCACAGCAAUCUGUGUGCGUGUGCGGGUGUGUGCGUUAAGCAGCUGUUAAAUGGACUCUGUGGCCUUUGGUGUCCGUGGACAUUAGCUUUAUUGGUGUGAUCUGAGAAGUUAUUUAGUGACAGCUGGGAUUUCCCUCCCCAGGGACGAGGCCGCUGACGAUUUGUGAUAAAAGACAUGAAUGAGAGGGGAAAUAGGCGUUAAAUUGAAAGACCUGGAAAACUGCUGGGGGAAAAAAACCUGAAUUGAUUAAAAAAAAAAAAAUGACACAUCAGAAAUUUCAGUAGAUUAUUUUUCAUAAUUUGUUUUUACUAAUUUAUCUGGUACAUUUGCAAAAAUUAUUACUGUUGUCUUGUUUUAUUAAUUUUACAGAUUGAUUUAUUUUGGAGGUUAAUGAAACUGCUCUCUGGUAAACAAACGAAUUGAACAUCUUGUUUGAGGAGCAGCAAAUAAAAAUUAGAAAAUUUGAUGAGGUGAAACUAUAUAUUUGGCUUCCAUCUGAGGGUGGAAAUGCAACACUUUCUGCAGUCUGUGACCUCUGUUUGAUUCUUUGUGGCAGGAUCACUUUGUAUGAGUGUAGUUUUUUGUGUAUUCUGAGGUUAAGAGGAUUAGUGUCAAGGUGAUAGAACAGCUGUGCAUUUGGCUGUCCCUGUAGAGGACAGGAAAAAAAAACAUCUGCAUACAUUUUUUUUUCAUAUCUGCUAUAUAGACUCUGAAAACUGACAAAUCAGCAGUCUCCCUCAUUUCUAAAAAUCUCUUACUUCAUGUCCUUUCUCCUCCCUCUGCCUUUUCCUGUUGUUUGGUAAAAAAAAAAAUAAAAAAUUAUCCCCCCCUUUUCACGCUGCUGAAAAAGAGAGCAAAGUACAGGGGGUGCGCAGAGAGAGGGGAGAGGGAGAGAGGGCAACUGAUUGCUCCUAUUGUUUAAGAGCGAGGCAUGCAGCCUCUUAGGGGAUAAUUGGCACACUAGGAGGGUAAUGUGUUUGGACAGGAGAGGCAAGUCAAAGAGAGACAAAUCAAAGGAAAAGUGGCCAAAGAGCUUAUGGAGAGCAUGCUGUGGAUCUGUUAAAUUUAGACUUCUGACACAGAAUGUGGAUCAGUGAAAAACAACAAAUGUGUUUCACUUCACGUCCAGGUUUUGAUUAUUGAAAAGACAAGAAUUGAUGUGUUCAGGUGCCACCGGUUAGCUAUCUGACUUUUUCUUUCUUUGAGAUUACACGUUUAUUCAACUACAGGUAAAUAAAAACAUGGAAAUAAUAGCCUGUAUGUGCACUAGAGUGUCUGUGGGGAAAAAAGGGAAUAAAUAAAGAAAAGAUGAAGAGAAUGUGUGUGGGAAAAUAAUCUUUUUUAACACAGUUUGAAGGUUUUAGAGUCCCCUGAUGUAAACAUGUAUCAUAAAAUACAUCAGACUUUCCUGAUUUUUAAUUUAGGGUAAUUAUUUCACUCUUUUGUAAAACUAAAACAACACAAAAAGAAAGGAAAAAGAAAAUUAGCUUGCACUGCGAGUUUUAAUAAUCAACACUUGAAGCACUUCACUAAAUUGGAUACCUGUACAGCUAACAUGAGUCAUUUUUUUUCAACGACCAUUAAGGUUAAACAUUUUCUUUCACAAAGAAGCAUAUUGUCAAAGAUCUGUGUCACCGCCAUCAUAUAACACAGCUGCCGCUCUUUCUUAUGUGUUCUGCCAAGUGUAAUACAUGAUGUUCUUUUUCCAUUUCAAACUCUCAUUUCUUUCUGCAUGUGUCCUUUGUCUCCCGUCAACCACUUAGCAAAAAGCGCUUGUGGUUGACAUACUUUUAGUGCAAAGUUCACGCGGAGUUUUAAUUUUCUCAAUGUUUGGCGGCGAAACAGUGAGAGUGAGUUAAAUGUAUGCAAAAUUUAAAGAAACAGCAUUCACCCGCCUGGUGACAGCUUCCACAGUCUAACCCUGCAAAAAAAAAAAAAACAAAAAAAAAAAAAACACCCACAUGUUGUACUCGGAAACCUAAAGUCUGACAUGUCUUAUUCAGAAGCACACAGCCAUAAAUAAUCAAACUACAUGACAAGUGAUGCAGACAUCCUGCUCCUACAAAGAUGACCUUUAACCAGCAGGAAGACUGGAGCGUCAUGCGGCUCAGAUUGUAUGUUGAAAGCUAUCAAGCGUGUAGUUUAAUCUGGGAGCAGAAGAGUUUGCUUUACUGCGUCAUCAAAGCGAGUCCUACACGUCUCCCUGUAUGUCUGUGUCUCUAUUUCAUAUUCCAGUCACAAACCCUGUGGUGCAACCGCUCAAAGGGUACCGUUUGGUAUUUUGGACUUUUUUUUUUCUUUUUUUUUUUUGUGGGGGGGUGUGUGGGGGGGUUGAUAAGUUUUGUGCCUGAAGGUCUGUCUGGGAUGGGAUGACUGCACAGAGAGAACGUGCAGGCUUGACACGCUCGUGACCGCAUUAGCUCGAUACCUGUGAUGGAAAAAUGUAGAAAAAAAAAUAAAAAGAAACAUUCGCUCUCGGUUUGCCUGAUUCCACGAACAUCUCUGGGAGCGCCUGCCUGCCUACCUCCGCUGCACACUUGCAUGUGGAUGUGUAACAAAUUAGUGUACAUGUAAGACAACUAUUUCUGAUAUUAUUUAGCGUGAGUGUAUGAGUGUGUAGGUGCGUGUGUACAGUGUGUCUAAAUUGGAAGGCUGUAAUUAAAUGCGUAGACCUCUCCACUAUCUCCUCCUCCAGCCAGCGCCAGUGACGCACAAACCGCAGCACAGCCAUGAGUCAUCAGGCCCCCAGGAUCACCACCCCUCCUUCUAUCUCUCUAUCCCUGCCUCCAUCCACCUCUACACGGCUCUCUAUAACCCUCUCUACCUCUCACUACACAUUCCUAUGUCCCACUCUUUCUAAAUUACCCACCAUCACGCGCACCAUGCCAGCAGCUUGCCUUUUCUCUGUACGCUCCUUGAGAUUCGUGCUCAAUUUCCAGCUCGAUCCGACACGCUCCCCUGUUUAUCUCUCCACAUCUGGCCACAGCUUCUUUCUCUCCCACUACGUUACCCCCCACCCCCUCCAGCUUCCCCUCUUCACUCGAUCUGUCUUUACCCUCUUUAUCUCCCCUGUUAACCUGUCCACGCCCACCCUGUGAACCCUGUAGGUUAUUGAGUUUACCACAGUUGCAACAGAGGGAGACAGCGGGGAAAAAGAGAAAAAGGGAGUCAUGGGGAGACAUAAGAGAGGGGAAUGAAAAUGUGAGGGAGGAAAUACUGGGGAGGGGGGGGGGGCAAACGAAAGAAAAAGCAGUUGUGACAAAAAUGAAAGACAGAGCAGCAGUGACAGUGUGAGGGAGCGGGAGGAAACGAGAGCGAGAGAGUGCAUGAUUUGCCACCUGGCGUCCUGAAUCAUUAUCUGACUCAUGCUAAUCUCUUAUCUCCUCAGCCAAACACACUGCACACACACUGCUAAGAUGGGGAGUCAAAACAGCGUUUUCUGAGUGUCAGACAGGGUAAAAGAAGAGGAGUCAGGGGCCGCUGGAGGGUACAGAUGAGAAACACUCAAAGGAUGGAGAGCAGAGAAUCUCUCUCAGCUGUCUGACGAAGUCAGCGACGUAGUUAAAGAGGGAAGAGGGGAUGUUUCAUUUCCCUCUCUCUGAGUGUUUAUGAUACAAGUAGGAAGGGAGAGCAUAUUUAAUGUAUGACUCAUAAAUGUGUGUGCCUCUGUGCCCCACCAACGCCCUGCAGAGAGGGUUGCAUCUACUUCUGCAGGAGGGAUAAAAAAAAAAGGCAAUUUUGUGCUUUACUUGGUGUGGAUAUCCAAUUAGUUACACAAAAACAUGUGGCUGAGAGGAUGUAUGCCAAUGCGCUUCUGCUUCUGAUAGAUGUUUUAUCCUCAGGAGAGCCUCCACAAAUGUGCAGCAAAGCUGUCUGAUGAAAUAUUAUAUUUUGAGCGCAAUAGUUUUUGUAUAGGGUAUUAGUUGUUUCAGUUUGACAGAGAGGAUCAUGCACUAUUAUCCCCUCAGCUGACAGCGAUAAUUCAAGGUAUUCUGCUCACAGAUUGCUGUAAGCUGUGUGUUCAAUAUCAAAGCCACGUGGCUUGAUUGUACAAAGGUUUCCCAGAGUGUUAGUGUUAUUUAUUAUCCAUUGUGACACGUGCACAUAAAUCAUUUGUACAUCCUGGGCGCUUCUGAUAAAGCCAAACCUUCCUCCUCGACACGUGACUGCAGCUUUGAUGCAUGUAAAUCUUUAUUUAGAAUAGCCUUUCUAUGUAGAGAAUGACACAAAAACCCUCUGCUCUGUUACAGGGUCAUGUUUACCCUAAGGUAGAAACACCAUGCGUACAAAAGGAAAUUGCACGCCGCCUUCUCUCUCUGCAGUUUGGAAAUAAACAUGGGAAAGUUCCUGAAUAAUAAUCAGGACAGGUUGCAGACAUAUGCAGAGAACAAACAGCAAAACACUCCUUUUGGCUUGAAAAUUUUACAGAGACCGUGUGUGGGCGAAUGAUUUAAAUGUUGUGGAACCAGAUUGUACUCAACAGAGAUAAAUGUUGGGAGGAUCCAACGCUUAUUUCAAACGUGAAAUAUGUGUGGCAUAAAUUUGGACGAUGUUUAAAGCAGACUUUGAGGAUUACAGUCUUUUAAUGAAGACUUUCGCUGACAAAAAAAGGAAUUUGUAAUGCCUAGAAAACACAGUAGGCUGGAGAUAAUAUCUCUCUUUGUUGAAUUAAAAUGAUUGCCUCCAGCCUACAUAGCCCAUUUUCUGAACAUAUCUCUCUGCCUAGGCUAGUCAGAGCAGCAACAUAAAACGUGAUGUAGUCUGAAUAUCGCACUGUAUAAGAACUCCAUUUAAUACAGUCAGAUAUGAAUAUUAACUCUUUAAUACAGCUUAUCUGAGACAGUGUGCCAUUCAGUCCCUCUGACAGAGAUUCUGCUCAUUUGGAGGCUUUAGGAAGUUAAAGAUCCCUGCAGAUGUGAGUCAUUUCAACUUUUAGCAUAUCUCACUCUCCUUUUCUAAAUGCUCUAUUUCCAGAGUUUGGCUGCUGUGCAGCAAAACAAUAGAAUAAUUCAGCUCCUCUAUAAGAAAAAAUUCUCAAAGUGUUGGGGUAAAAAGUUGGGGGUCAAGACUCGGUUCCACUAAAAACCCAGUUCUGCAUUUUGCAUCAAAUCAAGCAUAAAUGUAGAACUUUUGACUGUCAGCUGCUUGAAACAACUCUGUCAGUUUCUGGUGCUGUGGGUCUGCCACUCUCCUCUUUUACCCAAAGCAGCUGGGGUUAGCACACCGAGACUAUACAGCGUGUCUUGUUAGUUAAAAAUCAGAAAAAUCAGAAUCCAAUGCCAAAGUCAAGGUUUAAAUCCAUGUUAAAAUCAAUAGGAUAAAAGCUAGUUAGCUAACAAACAAGGCAACAUUAAAGGUAAGUAAAACAAGAAUUAAACAUGUGCGAUCAUGACAUGCCAAAUGUCAAAUCCAGAUUUUUUUAGAAGUUUUUUGGGGGUAAAACAAUAAUAACAGAAAAGACUUGGUAAGGACUUGGUCAUAAAUGAGUCUUAAUAAUGGUAUCAACAAAAUAAAAUAUAAUGAUACCCAACUUGAGUCAACAACAAAGAAAUGAUGUUAUGAAGUGGGAAAGCAGUACAAAGGAUGGCAGGGGAUGUUAAAACACAAGGAGCUGCAGAGUGAAAAAGGCAUCAACUAAAUUGAAGAAAACAGACACAUGGUAACCACAAACCACAGACACAGGACAGGUUUCAGCAGUGUUACAAGAUUGAGUGAAAAGAAAACACAAACAGACGUUAAAGUUAUAAGAUGGAGACCAUACAGUUGCUGCUAUAAUCUUCUACAUCUAUAAAAAAUGCCAAAGAAAAAACUUCAAUGUUUGGACUUGACUGUGAAUAAAAUACUAAAUUAAAUAUGAUAUACAACAGUAAACCAGCAAAAAGAAGAAUUUGUCCUGGUUCCUAUAUUCUGACAUAUGUUUUUUAUUAUAACCACAUAAAAAAAUACCCUUGUGUCAUCUUUGCUGUGUUCUACAGAAUAAAAAAAUGUCUAAAAUGUACAACAUCAAGUGACAUUUAAAGCUUAAAUGCCAGGACAUAAGACGUAACAGCCAUUCCAUGAAAUAAAAAACUGUAAAUUAUUUGCGAACCAUCAGGAUUGUUCGAAAAAUGCCAAUUUAGUAACAAAUCUGCUGACCCAGAGACACCUGAUAAUAACACAUUUAAAUAACAUGCACUCACCGUUUUAUAACCAACCAACAACAGACAAAUUCAUCUAUAUUUAGACAUGCCUUUAUCUUGAAGGACAAACAUCAACCAACCAAAGCUAUUCAAAGUAACAGAAGCACUCAGAGUUAAUGCAAAAAAGGAAAACAAACUGACUAAAACUUUCUAAAAUAAUGACGCAGUAUAAAUUGCAGAGAGGCAGAUAUAAAAAGAGGCUUAUUAGUGUUGACAUGAGUGCAGUCUGAUUUCUCAAACCCCCCUCCCAGAGAGCUCAUCUGCAUUUCACUAUUCAUUUACAAAAACAAGGCGAACAAAAACUUGCACCAUUACUGUAAUGUCUGCUGUUUCCUCUAUAUGAAAGAAAAACACCCCUAAUCUUGUUGAUUGGCAUAUACGUCAUAGGCCAUGGUUUCAGGUUAUUUUUAGUAAUUCUGGGGUUGUUUUCUGCAGGCAGUCUGAUCUGAGAUAAAUCAGAUUCAUCAUCUCAGUGAAUAGCUAAUCUCUGACAAAAAGGGAAGCUGAAAAUAAGCUUUAAGAGAGGUUUGCCUUAAAAAGAGAUUAUCACAAAGUUACCAUCAGCAUUUGAAGAAUUACUGAGCUGACUGACGCACUGAUUGGAUGUGUUCUUUUAACGUACAUCAGUGUCUAAAACUGAACAUGUGCCAUAAACAGCUGCUUUUAUCGCAUAUAAUCAGUCAAGAAGUGUGUUCUUCUCGGAAAUCAAAAUAUCUUUUAUUUAGAAACUAAUUAUCAACUUAAGUACCACAUCCUCAGCUGUAUCUCCACUAUUGAAUGAUUAGCUGAUUUUAGACUUACUUCAGCUAGCUAUAAAUAUACUUUAAAGUGCAUUAAUGUUGGAAAAAAACUUGGAAAAGGAACUACAUAGGCCUGCCAGUUAAAGGGAUACUCCGGCGUAAAAUUAAGUUAAGGUCAAACACACCGUAACACCUAGUUAGACACCCCCUUGAGAGAUGAAUGUUGCCGACUGCUUGCUUCUCUGGUUAUACCAACUUCAGUAAUGACCGCACGAUAGCAAUACACAGCGGUCUCAGGAGCCAUAAAGAAACCUCAACCAAAAUGCCACUCUGUAGCUGCAAAUAAUGCUCAGAACAGCACCUAACUUCAUCAACAGUACAUAUAGGGUCCCAGCCACAGCACUAGCCACCAAACAUCUUUUUAACAUUGCCUAAUUUCUUUAGCAAAGAGACUUAACACAACUCACCUACUCUCUUCCAGUGGCCGCUUGUUUGUAGCGAGACCUUGACCAGUCCAUCAUCGACUGAGGUGGGGGGCGCAGCUCUAGGAAGAACAUUACAAUCACUCUUUAACAAGUCAACCAACAUGACAUUUCUACACAUUUCUAAGCAAUUGUUUUAAGCUAACCCUGCUUGAAGUACACAAGUGUACAAAUCAAUUUUUAGGGUUUCAAAAGUUGCUACAUAAAGUAGAUCUGAUAUUUAUGAUGACUUUUUUAGUUAACAAAUCUGCAGUGACACAUUGCCACGGUCUGUCUAGUCGUAUAUUCAAGGAUUACAAAACACUAAAAGGUAAUGAGCGGCUUGUUCCUUCCUUUGUUCCUAAGCUCAGCUCCCCACAGCGAGCAGAAUUUCCAGAAACAAGUGUAUGAUUGAAGCUUAUGAAUGAUCGCACUGCUCUGAGCUCUGAGCCCAGGUACAAUUACCAAUGGUGACCAAGAAUGAGAGGCAGUGACUAAUCAUGUUUAUUAAGAUGGAUAGACGGUGUAACAGCCAGCUCUUAAUGGCAAUAAAUUCAUAACAAUAAAAUCAUGAAUAACAAUUUUGAAAAGAAGCUGAACCAAAAAGUUGUACCACUCACAAAAAUGAGUAUUUUGCAUGUAAAUAGAGGAUGAUUGACAGAAAAAUGCUCUAAAAACACCCCAUUUAAGAUCUUUCUGGGUACUUUUCUUACAAUACAACCAUUAUAAGAUCAAACAUAAAGUUUUGGAUUAUUGUUGAAUAAUUUGAAGUUCCUCACAGUUGCUACUCUUGUUUUGCCUUGCAAUGUUUUAUAAUACCAUUAACAGAUUCAUCUUUUACCAUGCUUUACAUAGCCUACUGUGCAUCUUGAGAUAGGGAUCAAAACCCUGCUCUGUUAAGGACCUGCUCAUGCACUUUCUAAACCUGAAAAUCAGUAAUCUUUGGGCUUAAAAAUACUUUUAUCAAGUCUCAUGGGUCCUAUGAAGUUAUUCCAUUAAUUGUGCUACAUUUUAAUCAAAUAGCACACAAACAUAUGUAUUAUCCACUCAAGUUUCCAGCAAUUUCCAUCCAACAGGUGAUAAAAAAGAGAAACACCGGUAGUCAGUUGCUUACCUUCGAGUGUCUUCAUGUUGAGAAAGGACCAACAACUUCUGGUCAUUUGUAAUCCUUUGGGAAAGUUACCUCCUUCACUCAAAACAGCUUUGGAAAUCAAACACGAACUUUUUUAGCAAGUCCCGAUACAAAACAGUCGUCUAAUGUUGAUAAAAAUCGCCAGGGGAAGAGUUUAUGAGCUAGCUAAACGAGGUAGCUACCGUAUCACAUUAUGAUGUGUUCAAGGUCCGGUCAGUAAAAUAACUGUUGGGCGAAAUAAAUAAAGCGUCGCCGUUACAGUAUGUGUUGAAUAUAUAGGUUUAAUAUACUUGUUUGAGGAGAGACGUUUGUUCGUAAGAAGUUAAAAAUAGGUUUUACAUAGGCCCAGGGGUGAAAGUAGGAUAAGGUUCUUCCAUGUACUGUAACUGGAGGCUUUGUACAAGAGGAGCACACACAAGUUUAACAGGUGCCCCUCAACAAAUAAGAAUACAUUUAUUCUAUUUAUGACAUACUUGAGUAAAUUGUGCAACAGAAGCCUGCAAAUGACUACAUGUGUGAUUUAUUAGCUGGAAAAUACAAUAGGGACAUACUUUAAAGCCACAUACAAAUCCUCAAGUAAUUUGAGAACAAUAAAUCACAUUUAUAGUCAUCUGCAGGCUUCUGUUGCACAAUUUACUCAAGUAUGUCAUAAAUAGAAUAUAUUUAUUCUCUUUCUCUUGAACAUAAAAUCAAAUUUUCUCUGCAUUUUGUUUUAUUGCUGCAUUAAGAUUGAAGCAGCUGUCUCUUUAAAAGGUCCCUUCCUUCCGCAAAAGGCGGCAGGCGAUCCCCAGCGCCUCGGCAACCAGCGUCCAAUCAAAAGUUCGCAUUGAGCGCUUCCAUUUUCGGAAUUUGUUUGUUUGCGGAAGCAAAUACUCACUCGCAAGCAGCACGAACCUUUUGAAUUACUGCGGUUACAAUGCAGAGUGCAGACUGACGUCCGGCAACACGGUAAGCAAAUGUAGCAUACAUACACUGCAGGGGUUAAAGUUUGCGUACCGCUGCGUACCGGCUGUAAACUGCUGUUUAUGUCUUCCCGGUAUGGCGUUCUGUUGCAUACCGGCUUUCUUUCACCCUGGCAUAGGCCCUGUUUUACUUUCUAAUAUGAGCUCUGGACAGAGACAAAAGCUUGAUUUACACAGAGCUUCGAGUAAGUAGAGUGCAUCUCACUUACCAUAGAUAAAUGGACCAAAAAAAAUGACAUUGUUAUCCAAGUCUUCAUUUGUCAUUUCUGAAAAAAAAGUGAUAAAUAUCACGGAUUUGUUUUAGUGAUAGUAUUAUGUUUUGUAUUGUAGCAGAUUUAGAUAAGCUGAUAAAUCUUCAGAUCUUAUUUCCUUUUUUUUUAAGUUUAAGUCCACCAACUAGAGAGAAUUCACAGUUCAGCCCUUGAAAACAGACACUGCGAAUUUUGUCAAUGCAAAAUGAUAAGUGGGUCUGUUCAUUGACACAUUGAUUUUUCUGCAAGAUGAAACAGAGAAAAACAGAGACAAAAGAUGAAAAUGAAAAGCAAAAUACAGACUACCAAUGAAAACCUCUGUUCAUAAAAAAAUGACAAGACAAAACUGUUUGCUCCAUUCAGGCUGGCAAUCAGUUACAUUGCUGUUUUUUUUUUAAUAAUUAUUUUCAUUCAAGGACAGUGACUGAUGUGUGGUGAUUAAAUGACAUGAACACACGAAAACUCUCUAACUAGCAUGUUUACAAAAUUUGUGGAAUCAGGUCUCUAUUUUGAGGAGCAGGUUUACUUAAUUCAACUAGAAUAUGAUUAAUAAUUUUUUAAGAGAAACAUACACAGAUCCUAAACCAUUCAGCAAAAAUUAACAUUGAUUAGCUGAGUUUGGAAACAUACUUUCAGCCAAGAUAGCUGAAAGUUAGACUAACAAAAACAUUGACUUCAACAAAAGCAGAGUUGAAUCUGUUUCUUGUAAAACAAACAACAAGAAACAGAUUCAGCAAAAACGUUUAAGUUAUGAUUAUAUUGAAAGUUUUGUGUUAAGUCCGAGGUGCAGGCUUCACCUUUACCUCCACUGGACACUGGACUGGAGGUUGCACUUGUGCUUUAAACUAGUGAAAGUUAGCAGCACAUGAAAAACAGUAAUUAUGACGACUCCUUGCUUUAGGAACCAUUAUGGCUUCUUAAUGAGAGCUCUGCAGGUUUUCAGGAAAAAGGGUGUUGACUAGGAUGACCAUACGUCCUCUUUUGCCUGGACAAAUUUUGUUUUGGAGGGCUGUCCGGCUUGUCCGGAGGGAGUUUAUAAAACCCUUCAAAUGUCCAGAGUUUUGUAUGGAAGCCGUUUCCAUGUGGGGGAAAAAAGAGAGAUAAAUGAAUGUAUUUAUUUGAGUCAGAAGCAAGAAAAAAUCACUUGACCCAACCAGAAAAACCCUCAAAAUUUUGCGUGCGCUCUGCCCUGCGUAGUAGAAUAUGGUCACCCUAGUGUUGGCCACCUAGCAGUUAUAAACCCUAAACUGUACCAGUUUAUCUGUUUCAGUCGCUACACUUUCCUGUCUCUGUUUCUGAAGACACAGCGCCGCAUAAAUACAUGACCUGAAGGUGCAAAGUGCUUCAAGUCUGAACAGCUAGGCCAACUGCAACCUCUGAUUUUGACAACAGAGCACUUUGGUUAUGCUCGGUCUCAGCCAGUUUAAUUUAUCAUACUAACAUGACAUGAUGAGGCUCUUUUUUUCUCUUAAACUGGCAGGGAUUCACAAUCUUUGGCAUCAAUUAACACACUGAGGUUUUUUUUUUUUUUUCAAUUAUUUAAUUCCUUGCUUUCGCUGUCUUGUCGGUGCUUUCUUAUUCUCCCGCCAACACCAGCAGACACACAAAGAUAAGCAUGCUCAUACCUGGAAAUGGAACAUACAGAGAGGAGAGAUAGAGAAAAGAAAAACAGAAAAUGCAAAGAAUGCGUGAAGCUAUUAUGGAGGCUGUGAUGAGUUGAAAUGAUAGAGAAGACAUGAGCAGUGUUUAUGAAAUUCUGUUGCGUACAGUAAACAUGGCUUUGUUUCAUGGAGAUCAUGGUCUGGAUUAGCAGAAGUGACAGAUAAAUAAAUGGGAAAUUUCAUUGUAUGCCACUAUCUGUAAAAUGGAUUUGGUGAAUACUGAGCUGGCUGGAUAGAAGCUUUUGUUCUGCUGUUUACUGCCUGAAUCCUUUCACAUUUACAAGCUAAGGUUUUACCCACAUAAAGCUGCAAAAGGGGCCUGUUUACGGAAUGUUUCACAGGAAAUAUAUGACAAGACCGUCUGCUCCACCUGUCCCCGGGCCAAAACAUGACACUUCAUUUAUUUAUUCUGUUAGAUUUACACAAAUGUGUGUUCUUUGUUAUUUGCACCAUUUUGCAACUGGACAGACUUCUUGUUUAUGGUUUGCUUCAUCUUGGUCAAAGGCAUUUUUACAUGAGAAAAAAAAUACCCCCUCUGAGAUUUCAUAACUAUUUUCAGAAAAUUGAUGAAUGCCACAGUUAAUCCUAAAUGGUUUAUCCAUGCCAUUUCAUAAUCUGUAAACCCCAUAAUCUGUUAUCUGGCUCCUUGUACAUGAGCCACCAUCCAUUUUUGCCCACAUGCUUCAUUUCUUUGUGUCCCUUUUUUGUUGUUGUUGUACUGAAGCCAUGACUUUGGCCCUGAACAUAGUUGUUAUUCAGUGAUUUUGUGGUUGACAGGGUUGGGUCAUCUGCAAGAACAAGCUCUGUUUUGAUAUUCAUGAGGGUGGUUAGAAAUGGUUGUGACUUUGUACAGAGACAGGGAAGAAAGGUAAUAGUUAGCCUGUUCUAAGUACACCCACUAAAGUCCUCCAAAUGCCACUACGAACACUUAAAUAUUAUAUCUCAUUUGGUUGUACCAUUCUUUAACACAUUUAACAUGAAUUUAACUAAGAAUAAGUAUAGAGGAUGUUGUAUGACAGAUUGUUAUUCUGCCUGGAAACCCAGUCUUUAUCCUGCGAUUACUAUUACUAUUCUCCAAAAACCAGGCUCUGACUAUUAUCAGAGGAGGAAUCUGGAUUGGUACCUUGGUCAGAACCGCUGUUUUUCCCAUAUUUUCGAGAAAAGAGAAGAUCUGGUCUUCAAGUGUCUGAACAGUUUUCAGCACCAUCUGGGUUGUCUAGAUGCACUAAAAAAUUCUGGAUAUUCAGGAUUUAGACUGACAUUAUCAACCCAAGUUUCCCCCUGAAUAACUGAUAACUUUUGAUUUCCAUGUCUUCCUGAACUUUACUUUUUAUCCAGACUUAGCUGUCUGCCUUUGUUUUUCCCACUUCAAAGUAAACUGCAGCAGGUUGACGACAGUUUCAGUUUGGAUAAAACCUUCAUCUCCCUGAAAUAUCCUGACAUCAGCUUUGAUAUUAAGAGAUCAUAUGAGGUGGUCCCAUAACUCCAUUGAACUCAAAAGAUAAUCUCAGUACAGGGGGUGCGGUGGCAUUAUUUCAACCCUUUACCCAGUGCAUUUUUAGUAUUAAAAGAAGAAAAGCAGUAUCUUUCCACCUAUGUGCUAAACUAAAUUCAGAUUUAUUUUGAAUCUUCAAAAGUUGAGCCUAAAGAAACGAAGAAUUCAGAGGAAAGGAAACAAAAAUGUAGUCAUACAAUUAUGCCGGUGGGCCUCAGAGCAAUCACUGACAAACUGUUGUUCUGUUGUCAUCAACAACGUGAACUAGAUCUGUCUGGAGUCGUAACUGAUUGAUUUGCAAACUGGCAUGCACCUGACAUUGGCGUAUGGUCAAUUAUCUCUCUGCCUCUUGAAAAUAAAUUGAAAAGUGUCGCAUCGUUUUAAAUUGACCAUUUAUGAAGUUGUCAGACCAAAAGUCAAUUAGUCAUUUGUUUUUUUCUCUUCCGUGGCAUCAUUUAGUUGUCUUUUGUUGUUCAAAACUGUUUAUUUCACACUUGGAAUAAAACACACCCAAGGUUCUGACCAACACAACCUUUGUUAUUGGACUGAGGUUUGUUCAGUAAUCUGAACAGUGGCAAUCAAAACCUUUCGGACUCAGAAGAUGGAAAAGAUUGAACAACAGGUGGUAGCCCACCAAGGCUAGCAAGGCCGGGGUAGAGAUCAUGAAAAUCAGACAGUUAAUUAGUUAAUCAGACCAGUUAGUACUGAUGGGUGCUUUACAUAGCAGCCUCUUUGAGUGGUCUUAAUGAUCAGCCUUUCUCACUAAUUGCCCAGCUCUGGUAAAUAGUGUAUUUAAAAGUUCAAAACUUAUAACAACAGUCUUUAAUUCUCAACAGAGCAAUGAGCAAUGUCAGGGACAACCUCGUCACCCAAGCCCUAUCAAAUUAUAUAUAUAUAAAUAUAUAGUUUUGAUUGGUAUGCUAUACAUUAGAAUCCACUGUGGCAAAAAAGAAAAAGAAAGUUUCUGUCACUGGCUGGUCUUUAAAGUCAGAAAAUAAUGACAGUUACCUGCACUGAUGUGAGCGAAGCAGUCUGAGGAACUUGUUUAUGUCUUUAGUCUGUUUCCGGGUAACUAGAUAGAAUAACCCUAACCCUAAUGAAAUGAUGGUCAUGCGUGUUAGAAUCCCAAGUAAGACCCGCUCACCCUGUCUGAACUCAAAUUUGCAUAACCACCUGCUCAUCAUAUAUUACUCCAUUGUCCCUUAAUUACUGGUAAUGGACACCUCAUUGUGAAUAAUCCCCCAAUUAUUGUUGUGCAGCAGUUUGAAGGAAGGUAUGAGUUUUAGUCGUUUUAAGUUUUUUUUUAUAGUUUUUUAAUUCAGUCAACUUCAAACUUAUUGUACAAAAGCAGUGACUUAAUAACUACUGUAAAAAUAAUCACAGCUUACCCGCUCACUCCAUCGCCUCACUGUUCCUUCCUGAAAAAUUACCGCUCAUCAUAUGAUGGAUGUUUUCUAAAUGUAUCCAUAUUUUAAAGUCUUGUUUGAGGUCUUUGCCUGACACAGUGAAGCUUGAUAUCUUGUUUCAAAUCUUGAGCAGAAAUUAAUCAGGAAGAGAUAAUGAUUAACAAGAGAGAGAGACUGAUUACAUUUCUGCCGAGUUGUAGUCCUGCAUUAAUCAUGAUAAUUUCCCUCACCCUGCCUGACACCUCAAGUGAGUGUGUCCUAUUUUUCUGUGACACUAUCGGGUUGUCAUCAAAUUAUAUUAACUGGACCCCUGCUUCCUUUCUGGAUUCAAGAUGAAGGCAGUUCGCUCUGUAUCUCAGGCAUCUAAUUAUCCUUUGAAUCCACAGGCGACAUGCUUUAUGUAUGUCAACAAACCUGCGUAGGAUAUCUAUCAAUACAAAUAUCUGUUGACUUGCCUGGAAAUAAAAUGGGAUGCUCCAUCCUAUAGUUACGUCCACUGCAGGAUUAAUGUGUUUUACUUGAAUGAAAAACUCGAAAUUUAGUAUAUUUUGAACAGUACAAUUAGCAGUUUUUUGGGCAAAACUUGUUGCAAUAAAAUGUUUCCAUUACCCUGCAGGGAAUCAGGGAGUACUUUGAUGUAUGAUCCAUAAUUGUAUGAUUGAAGCUACACAUCUUCCUUAUGGCUUUCUAUCUUUAAACCUCAAACACCAGCUUGUUUGUGUAUCUUGCACCGCACACACACACUUCUGCUAUCCUAUUCUUCCACUGUAGGAUCAGAGGUUUUGUGACUGUAGGUGUUGGCGAUGAGUCACACCGGCAAAUUACCGUGUUUCAAACGGCUUUCAAAUUACUUCCCUUCCAGUCAGGUGGUGUGCUGAUAACCGAUAACAGUUUUCAUUUCAACAAGGAGUUUUGGAGGACUUACCAAUCUCAUUCCUUCUGUUUGUCUGCCUCAAGGUAUAGUCUGUGUACAGCUAUGUGCAGCCUGUGCGUGUGUUUUUGCAUGAGGUUUACUGUACAGUACAUGCAGAUAAGCUGGGAGACCAAAAAGCCCACAAAGACAGGUGUAGGAUCGAUAAAAAGAUCACCGAAAGCAAACAGAUCACAUUAAGGAUUCACAAACAGAUCAUCUGUAUCUUUUAAUGCGUUUCACAAACCACAGAUCACUAUGAAAACACAAGCUUAGAGAAAUACUCUGACAAAUGAUAACAGAAAAUAUAGAGGACAUCACAAUCACCUACCUACAAGCACACUCUGCUGCAGAAUGCAAAAAAGGAGGUCUGCAUACAAAUAUACUGUUACUUUCAUUAUAGUUGCAUCACAGACAGCUGGUGUAGAGAGAUAAAAUAGCCAUGCAAACUCAACACACUGGCCCCUUGGGCUACAGACAUUUGCUGAAAAACGAGCAAACAAUGUUUACUCUAAGGUUCAAGCAGUUUGAUUCCCAUAUUAUUGAAGAAAAAAGACUUAACUGUACUAGUGUAAGCCUGUAAUAAUGACUUUUUUUUUUGGCAACUAUAAUUAUUUACUUCUUCAACUUGAGCAUCACAGGUUUCAACCACACAAGGUAGAGUUGUUUGAUCCAGUGACCCAAAUGUGAUGUAAAAUAACACCAAAACAGCUCAGUGGUACUUGCUGCCGUUAAUCCACAGUUGCAUCAGUACAACAUUGACACACACUUGGUAAAAUUGAAUAAUGCCUGCAAUCUAAAUAGCUUACUGACUAAAGCCCAAUCACUCCCCUUAAAUCAUCAGGUAUGGGCCAGCUGGUUGUACCCAAAUUAAAAAAAGUGAUUCAGUUUAAGGUGCAUUUAGUCACAGUGGUGACUAAAUGCACCCCCAGCAUUAGGUCUAAAAGCCCACCCUCUCCAUUAUAACCACUAAACUACAUAAUUUAAGUGCACGUCAAAUAAUGUUUUAAAACAGGGGUGGGCAAUUAAUAUUUACAUGGGGCCACAUGAGAAACCUGAACUGUGUUGGAGGACCAAACCAACAAUAACUUCAACUUCAAAUCAGGGGGGUUCACACAUACAGAAAAGCAAGCCCAAAUAAGCAACUACUGGUUAAAAACAAGCCCAAAAAAGAGCACCCGUGACUCACAAGUUUAACAAGCAACUUCUGAGAUAAACAAGCCUAAAGUCUUUUAUAAUAAGCGGACUUGGCAACUAUAAAGCGUCUAGGGAUAUUUUGCCAAUGUUUAAACUUGUCUCUGUUCACGAAUGCAGAUCUGGGAUGUACGCACAUGCGUCCAAAUGGAAAUAAAACAACGGCUAGGUUUUCAAAAUAAAGGCAACACACUUGAAUAGCAUGUUGAUAAUUUGUUCGUCAGACCUCACGAAGGGCCGGGCAGGGACAUCCAAAGGGCCGGAUGUGGGCCUCGGGCCAUAAAAUGCCCAAAUCUGUUCUAAAACAUGACUUCUGAUGUUAUAGUUAGUUUUUAUCACGCUAUUUUUGUGCAAGUGUUACCUUUGAGCAUGAAAAGCUUGUUGAACUUAUACAUGUAAAAACUGUGAUUUACCCAUUGUAGGGGUAAAUCCUCUGCAUCACCCCCUAGCGUUAAAGAAUUUAAAGCUGUGACUUGCCCAAUAAUGUAUUCAAACACAGUGUUUUCAACGAGAUAAUGAAUUAGGUCAGUACAGGACGCACAUUAAAUAACCAAAACUUGGCUCAUGUAACGCUGCAGGUUUCAGAGAGGAUUUUUCUUUCAUGCCAGUCCAUCUUGAGGUUGACUAUCUUUGCUCUCUGGUCCACUGAAUUUAAAGUGAUGUCAAUGCAAGCUAUUAUGCUAUUAAAGUUUUAUACCAGGAUCUAGUGUAGUACAUUAGAGGCAGCUGGCUGCAGGCUCAGUAUCUUGUCAUGAGGCCUUGAAUGUGCAGUACUGUGUUGAAAAAUGUUCAUGUGCAAGUGUGUGUGUGCAUUUGCGUGUGUUUUUAGUCAGGGUUUGGUUCCAUUCUCUUUCAAUAGUGUGUUUGCUGAUGCAUGUGCCAGAUGUCUUGAGGGAAGAGGGGAAGAGAUUGAUGGUGAGCGCUGAUGUCGCACGCUCUGAUAUGAGUCGCCUCAUCAACCUCAAAUUCAUCGCCUGCUUCUGGCCUCCAACACCAUCCGUCACUGCCGCCGCCAGGUUCCUCAAAGGUUGCACUCUGCAUUCUACAGCUAAUAUCCAAGAGGGUAAAUAAUUUCUGGGGUAGAAGACAAUGAGAAAGGAGGACAGCAGUGCACAACAAAAUUCAGAAACAUUACUCACGCAGAAUCCACUUCUUGGGGGCUCCGUCGACUCCCUCCAUAACUCCUCUCAGAGGCCUAAUUUAUGCGAUAGAUGUCUGGCAUUCAGCAGCUGUUCAAAGCUUUUUCCUCUCAUAUCAUCCAUAUUGGUUUAUAGAUUCAAAUAUUGGUUUUAGCACUGUAUUCAUCAAACUGGAAGUGUUAGCCCAUCACAAAUUACUUAUGAAAGGAUGAUGUUCAGUCGUUGGAAAAUAUGAAUGGAAAUACAUUUUUCUUGGCAGCGCCGCUGAAGGUUUUAAAGGAGCGGAGGGAAUGGAGGCAGAAAAUAUGUUGAGAAUAUUGGAGUCAGGAUCACAUUGAAGACUUUUUGUCACAAUAUAUAGUGUGUAUAUGAAACUGUUAAAUAGUGUUUCCUGAGGCCUGUCUUGGUGGUAUUUUUAAUCUCUUUCACUAAGUAUUAUUAAGCAUCGAGUUAAAGAAGUGUUAUAUAAAAAAUAUACAAUAAAUGUGGUUUUUGGUCACCCUUGGUAUUUAAUUCUCUGUAUACAUGAUGACUGUGGUUAAUUUUUUGAUGCCAACCUAUCUUGGAGGCAGCUUCAUGCAUUUAAGGGCCAAUGAUGUGUACUGGAUUGUGCCAGGUCAUAUUGUAUUACAUUGUAAUAUCUCGAAUUGCAGCAUAUUAUUUUACUUCAUGUUUUUGUAUCCUAGACAUAGUAUUAUAUCAUUUAUUGUAUCAUAAAGUUGGCUUGAAUCAGCAGAUUAGAAAUGUCCAGAUACCAGAUUUUCACCUCACGAUUAUUGUGGAAAAUAGCACAAUAACGAUAUUAUUGCAAUAAAUAUAAAAACUUGAAAUUUAACAUAACAGUGAGUAAAAUCAAGAAAAAGCAGGACAACGGUAGAGCAACAUAAAAUAUGUAUGUUUAUAAAUACUACAAGUCCAUAAUUUUUACUAAUAAACACAAUUAACUUACAUUUUAUCAUCUAUUUUGAACUAUUGUCAACUGGCUUUGAAACGUAAACUUCUCCGGAGAAGACAUUGGGCUCUAUUUUUGUGCCCGCCAGUGGCGCGGUGCUGGGUGGCGCACCCUGUGCAGUGGUAUUUUAGUCUGGCACAGCCCGGCGUACAGCCAGUUUGGUAUUUUGGUAGACUGAGGCGCCCUGAGGUCCACCAAGCUGGGCGUGGCCGCACAGCAGGGGGAGGUGUCGUCAGAAUCAGCUGGCACAGUGGCAUUUUCAUGCCCACUGAUAGUGUAGAAAGUGCGCUGUAAGCUUGCUGAUACAAAACUGGUCAGCUUUUUAGAAAUGUCCAGAUACCAGAUUUUCACCUCACGAUUAUUGUGGAAAAUAGCACAAUAACGAUAUUAUUGCAAUAAAUAUAAAAACUUGAAAUUUAACAUAACAGUGAGUAAAAUCAAGAAAAAGCAGGACAACGGUAGAGCAACAUAAAAUAUGUAUGUUUAUAAAUACUACAAGUCCAUAAUUUUUACUAAUAAACACAAUUAACUUACAUUUUAUCAUCUAUUUUGAACUAUUGUCAACUGGCUUUGUAACGUAAACUUCUCCGGAGAAGACAUUGGGCUCUAUUUUUGUGCCCGCCAGUGGCGCGGUGCUGGGUGGCGCACCCUGUGCAGUGGUAUUUUAGUCUGGCACAGCCCGGCGUACAGCCAGUUUGGUAUUUUGGUAGACUGAGGCGCCCUGAGGUCCACCAAGCUGGGCGUGGCCGCACAGCAGGGGGAGGUGUCGUCAGAAUCAGCUGGCACAGUGGCAUUUUCAUGCCCACUGAUAGUGUAGAAAGUGCGCUGUAAGCUUGCUGAUACAAAACUGGUCAGCUUUUGGUGCAGGUGGAGCGCAGCUGGUCAAGUGGUGUUUUAGUAGACUGGCGCAGCAGUUUACACAUGUCGCCAAUGCCUCACAGGCAGGUUUCCACCAUGUCAGGCACAUUUUAAUGCAAUAAAUAAUCAACAACAACUGUAGAGAAUUGUUGCACAUGAUUGUUUUGUAUCGUUUAGGGCUAUAUAGAAUCCUAUCAAAAAAUCCCCCAAAACAAACUGCUUAGUUUUGUUUUGUCCCAUUCAAACUGUCAGACUUCAUCUUUUUUAGCCAGGUUCAACUACAUCAAUAAUGUAUAAAGUGCAUAGAACAAAAAAGAAUACAAACUUUUUUUUGUUUAGUUUUUUUUUUUGCUUUUUACUUGUUUGCGUUAAAUAGAAAGGUACUUAUCAGUCAGAAGAUACUUGAUCGAAAUACUGACACAUUGGUGACAAAGUUUCAUAUAGUUUUAACAUUCUCCAUCCAUCCAAACCUUUUCUUCACUUCAGUAUUCAGGUAUAAGUCAAUCUGAUGCCACUUUAAUAGUACCAUAUAAAAGACAAGUUUUUCAAUAUUUAUAUCGUAAAUAGCAAAACGCUUUCAAAGAUAACCGUCUUAUUUAUGAUUUUCAUUUACUGAUGUCAUACCAACGGUAUGACAGUGAGAAAACCAGACAAAGAUGUGAUUUAAUGCUCAAUUUAAUUCUAAAAGGUCAGCUUGGGUAGCCACAUUCUCACCUUUUGGAGAAAGAAAAAUUUGUAGACUCUUCAGAGAGACUAAUGAGAUACUAAUUUUUUAUUCUGUCACUUUGUUCUAGUACAGCACUCUCCAGAUGCAAACACAGCUGCUAAACAACACAAUCUCACAAACCCCCAGUGCAACACAGGAGUAGCAAGCACAAAGCAGAGCAGAUGUUGUUGUGUCGCACUGCCUAACACGAACAAACAUUUGGCCCAAUCACAAAAACCAACACCUUCCUACCUCUUGUACCUGUACCUGACAAACAGGCCGGAUAAAUGCAUGGAAAAGAUAAUCCCUAUAAUCUGUGUAAUCCAAGAAUUAAAUAAGGAUUAAUUUCCACACCGUUACACCAAUCUUCUUGUAACCUCCAGCACAAAAUACACAAAUUUGUGUCGGAUGACGUACCUUGCAGGAAAUACUAACUUUUAAAAGCACAUCUGAGAAAAAAAGAGAAGAAAACUCUAGAUGAAACAGUAGAUUACAGUGUGGGCGGCAGGGUCCUGCACGCAUCAUCAAGUCUCAGCUUUGCAUUGUGUUGUAGGAACCUUACGGUGCAAUUACUUGUCCUUCCCUCCCCUGACAAAGUGGCGUAGGCGGAAAAAGCUUCUGUUAAUCAUGAGCUCUAUUUUAUCACUUCCAGGUAGCGACCCUUUGCUGUGCGAGGGAGCAGCAUUAGCACACUUGGCGAAAGAUUCCCAGCAUGCAUUUGCAUAAUUGUGGAACAAAUGUCUGCUAAAACUGUAGGAUUUGUAAUUCCCUAUCUUACUCUAUUAUAAGCAUGUCAGUGUUUCUGUUUUGGAAGUUGAUUUAAUGGAACAAAAGGCCAUCUAGAUACAACCAUCGCCCUGUUUUCAUUGCCCUAUUUUCUUAGCGGUUUUACGUGGGCCAUCAAUGACAGCAUGCCUGCACCUCCUUUAGAGGUCCAUUUGUGUGUAAUGUACAUUACAGUAAGAGAGGAGAGGUGUGUGCGUGAGUGUGACAGAAAGAGACAGAGCACACACCGCACAGAGAGAGAAAUGGAACUAUUACUGUGAGGUGUGUGUGUUCUGCAGUGUGUGUACUCCAUUAAAUGCAAGCACGGUGUACCGGUGUUAAUCUAUGUGAGUGGCCGAGCAGGCGGCAGAGUGUGAGUCAGUGUGGGGGUGCGGACAUGAAGUGAGGGUAAGGGGCCAACUAAUGCUGAGUGGCAGUUGAUAAUGCCAGACCGUUAUAUCAGCAUCUGCCCUCCGGCUCCAUGCUUACCUCAUGAGCUUGCCGCUGCCAUCAAGUAUUUCAACAAAAGACUCCCUCACACACAUACACAGAAUGACAUGACUGCCGUGCAAAUGCAGCCAUAUUCUGCAGCAAACAGCCCCCCUUGCACAAAAUCUAAUCAAACAGAGGUUAUGCAGUGCCUCGAGCAAUUGCAACAAAUUAUAACUUCGUUUAAUGUGUGCGUAUCUCUUGCCUGCUAAUGCAAUACACAUAUUUGUGCACAUGGAGGGAUUCUAACUCAAAACUGAAACAAAAUUUAGUCCAUUUUAGUCUCCAGGUAGAAAUUGUGAAGGCAGGUUUUUAGCUGGCAGCAUUGCAGAGAUGUAUUUUUACUUGUAUGUUUGGGUCUUCAUUAAGCUUUAACACUUAAUCCCUCUUCAAGAUGAGUCAUCAAACACUUCACAUCAUUUUUCAAGUUGUUCACACGUUACAUUUUUCUGAUCAGACAAGACCAUAAAAUAUGAAACAUUUACAUCAGUGGAGUGUGACAUUUCGUAUCAGACCGCACAAUAAUUGCCCAAUAAAGCCGUCCUCGUGUGACUCUGACGUCUUCAGCUAAUAUCCAAUUAACCUUAGAACAUCUCUGAUAAUACAGAAUCGCUGCCUGUGGUUAACUGAAAGUACAGUGCAAAUAUUAACACAAGUUCCUGCUCACGUACACACAUGCGGCGAAAGGUUCACGAAUGUGUGGGAACAAAAGCCUUGACGCUAAAUGAGGACUGACAGCUGAAUUUAGUGUCACACAAGGCCAGAGAGGAGGCAUGGCAUUGACAGAGCGUAUGGAAAUGUGCUCGGCUUUAACAUUGUGAAUCAACUUGUUUCUACGUUGCAUGAAUGACAGUCGAGUUCAGUUCAACAGGAAAGCUGAAUGACAGAGAAACUGCUCAUUUAUCUGCCCUUGAACCGUAAUGCACGAAAUGCUCUUUUACAGCAGACCUUGGGAGCUGGUGGUUGGCAGGGGAGGUAAAAAGUUUUUUUUUUUUUUAUCUUUAAUAAAAAAAAAGCUGAAGAAAGGAACAGGGGUGCAUUCGCAUGAGUGGGUCAUGUAAUCAAAGCAUCCCUCUGCAGCCUGGAGUUGUUUACCUCUGCAAGCCUUUGAUUCUUAUCCUCCGGCAGGCAGGACUCCUGAGGUUUAAAACCUACAGGCAGACUUAUGUCAACUCCUGCACAGCCACUUUUUCAGGAAAGCUGCAGGAUUGUUCUCCUUGGUUUGUUAUCAAUCAUGAUCAGAAUUACAUUCAGGGGGCACAAAGCUUAUAAUUAGGAACUGUUUUUGCUAGUAGUAUCUUAUUGCAUGUAAUAUAGAGACACAUGCACCGAUUUAUAGGUAUGAUAAGAGUACAAAUAACACGCUAAUGUAACCCAUCACUGUUGUAUAAGUCACGUCUUUUAUGUUGAUAAAUGAGGCAUAAACAUCAUGAAUUAUCCAUGGUAACAAUUUUCAUGUUAAUAAUAAUAAUAAUGACAGAUUCAUAAUUUAUCAUUCACCAAUUUCUGUCAGCUUACGGCCACAUGCCAACUUUAUAUCACAUACGUGGUUGUUUUAAAUGCGGCCUGUAGAGUCUGCGAGUGAAAAUGAGCUUAAAAGUAACUGUGGUACAAUCAACACCUCACAGAUAAAGGCAGAAACUGCAUCAAUAGUGUUGUCAAAAUCUGUUCCAAGAGCACUGGCAUGAAACAAAGAGAUCUAAAACCCUUUUAUAAACCAGCAUAUUCUCCAGAGAGCUGAUGCCAAAUGAGCACUGACUGAGAUUUAAAAUCAGCUUUAUUGGCCAAGUAUGUGUGCACAAACAAUAAACAUCAAAUAUUCCAAAAAUGAGAAAAUAUUGCUGUGUUUGAGUUUCCUCAGAAGCCCGAGCUGAAAAUGAUGUCACACCCAAGUUACCAGCGUUUCGGUUACCAAGUCGGUUUUAGCGCUUGCCAUAUAUUCGGACAAGGCGAGCGCUAAAAUAACUUUUGAAGAUGUAGCCAUCUCGUUUCCGCCUCCGAUUUUGCUUUAUUCUGACUUGGUAACUGAAACGCUGGUAACUUGGGUGUGAUGUUAUUUUCAGUUCCGACAUCUGACUUCCGAGCUAAUUCGAAUGCAGCAUGUGCACAAGCUUGUACAAGACUUUUAACUUGUAUAUACAAGUCUGUUAUGGUGAGUGAUUGAAAAACAUACGUCAUUAUAUCACAGAUGGGUUAUGUACAUUAGGUAUACGUUUUUUUUAUAUAGUAUUGACAUUAUUCACUAAAUUAUGGUUUAUAGAGGUAUAUGUCAGAUGAGAGGAUGAUGUCUGCAGUUAGAAUAUUUGGGAGAAGCAAUCAUCGUUCUAAAGGUUAUAAAGAUAAACAAUUAAACAGUUAUUUGAUUGUCUGCUGCAGUCUGUUCCUGUCCUGCUUUGUGGCAGACCCAAACCAAACAGUGAUGGACGUGCAGAGAACAGACUGGAUGAUGGCAGUGUAGAAGUGGAUGAGCAGCUCCUGAAGGAGGUUGAACUUUCUGAGUUGUCGCAGGAAGUACAACCUCUAACUGGGCCUUCUUGCGGAUGAAGGUCCACUUCAGGUCCCUGGAGAUAGUAGAUCCCAGGAACCAGGAUGAGUCCACACUAGACACCGUGCUGUUUAGGAUUGUGAGGGGAGAAGAGUGCAGGACGGCUCCUGCUAAAGUUUACUCUCAUCUCCACAGUCUUGAUGGGGUUCCGCUCCAGGUGGUUCUGACUGCUCCAGAGGACCAGUUGAUCCUCCUCCUGUCUGUAUGCAGACUCAUCUCCGUCUCAAAUGUUCUUCCUUGAGCUGCGUCACCCCACGUAAUCCGUAAUGGACUGGCCUGAGGUCUCGCUACAAACAAGCGGCUGCUGGAAGAGAGUAGGUGAGUUGUGUUUUGUCUCUUUGCUAAAGAAAUGAGACAAAGUUAAAAAGAUGUUUGGAGGGUAGUACUAUGGCUAGGACCUUAUAUGUACUGUCGAUGAAGUUAG